rnacentral:lncRNA from 1 species
GGCUUAGAGAUUGAUUCACAGCCUUCAUUUGAUGCUACUGUAUGGGUAGAAGCUACAGGAGGUAUUUUUAAAAAUAAGGUGUAUGAAUUUGGGCCGAAUGCAUAUUCAUCCAACAUACUCACGAGGACUGCUACAUCAUGCUCUGAUGAUCUUUCAGGGAGUACAUCUACUGCUUAUUCUGCUACUCCAAGAGCUAUGGAAAUGACACAGAAGCAUAUUAUAGCAGCUUUGAUAAACCCUCAACAUAGAGAGAUACUGCGAUCUCUUAUUUCUAGUCUUGAUUUUACAUCAUCUGAACAGUUGUCAUCUCCUCCAUAAGAAGAAGUUCAAUCAAAUAUCCCUCUAACUGAUCCUCCAUGUGAUUGAUUCUUGGAUAUAAACUUAUUAAAUGUAGUCUCUUAUUUAAUGCUGAAAACUAAUUGAAAUUUAAUUAUUUAAUAUUUUGAUAUAUUAUAUUUAUUUAUAAAUUAAAAUCUUAAUGAAU